rnacentral:lncRNA from 1 species
CCAACCCGAUAAAUUAGCAUAAGCCGGAAAAUCAUUAAUUGUCCACAACAAAGCUGCACGUAAAUUAAAGUUCUUCUUUCUCAAUACAUCAUGUCUCAACACCCGACCAUAAUUGUUUUAACUCUUCAAUAAGUGGCUGCAAAUAAAUGUCAAUAUCAUUUCCGGGACCUUUCUCUCUAGGGAUAAUCAUUGAUAAAAUAAACAAAGAUUGCUUCAUGCAAAUCCAUAGAGG